AUGCUCUACCUCUCCUUAAAGUCAAGGUAUAGUGAAGAGAUAAAUAAGAAGGUUGAAAUGUUUCUCAAGGCAUAUGGCUCAUCAAAACCCACAAGGUACACUUUGUGUGAAGUUAAGAAGAUAGCAAGACGGUUCAACGAUAAACUCGGCCAAGGUAGAUUUGGAAGUGUAUACAAAAGUGAGCUACCAAAUGGAGUGCCUGUGGCAGUCAAGAUGCUAGAGGGCUCCAUAGGAUAUGGGGAGGAAUUCAUCAAUGAGGUUGCAACCACUGGACUAAUAUCGUCCAUCUCUUGGGCUUUUGCUCCGAAGGAAUGA
rnacentral:rRNA from 1 species